AACCUUAUGGACCUGCGGGCGUAUACCUGCGGAAGGAUCAUUAAAAAGAGUGUGUACCCCUCUGUAAAAUGAGUGGGUUACCUCCCGUCCUUUGUUGACCUCUUAGGAGGUUAUUUUGAACUUUCUGCUUCGGUGGGGUUAAACCUACCGGAACACCCUCAAAUUCUUAUCAUUUAAAAAUUGUUCAGUCUGAUUUUUGUUAAUAAAAACAAAAAACUUUCAGCAACGGAUCUCAGAUCG
rnacentral:misc_RNA from 1 species